rnacentral:rRNA from 1 species
AGGGUUUGAUUAUGGCUCAGGAUGAACGCUAGCGGCAGGCUUAACACAUGCAAGUCGAGGGGUAACAGGGAUUGCUUGCAAUCCGCUGACGACCGGCGCACGGGUGCGUAACGCGUAUGCAACCUACCUUUUACAAGGGGAUAGCCCAGAGAAAUUUGGAAUAAUACCCUAUACGAUCAUCAAUUGGCGUCAAUUAAUGAAGAAAACUCCGGUGGUAAAAGAUGGGCAUGCGUCCUAUUAGUUAGUUGGUAAGGUAACGGCUUACCAAGACUUCGAUAGGUAGGGGUCCUGAGAGGGAGAUCCCCCACACUGGUACUGAGACACGGACCAGACUCCUACGGGAGGCAGCAGUGAGGAAUAUUGGACAAUGGAGGCAACUCUGAUCCAGCCAUGCCGCGUGCAGGAAGACGGCCCUACGGGUUGUAAACUGCUUUUAUACAGGAAGAACUAUAUCUACGUGUAGAUAUUUGACGGUACUGUACGAAUAAGGAUCGGCUAACUCCGUGCCAGCCGCCGCGGUAAUUC